UACAAUUCUGUACUUAUGGACCUAAACCUGGGUGAUCUAUCCAUGACCAGUAUGAAGAUUGGGUGAAACUAAGUGGAGGUCCGAACUGACUGAUGUUGAAAAAUCAGUGGAUGAGUAGUGGUUAGGGGUGAAAUGCCACUCAAACUUAGAGCUAGCUCGUUCUCCCCAAAAUGCGUUGAGGCGCAAUAGUUGACUGAACCAUCUAGGGGUAAAGCACUAUUUCGGUAUAGGCAGCGAGAGCAGUACCAAAUCGAGGCAAACUCUGAAUACUAGAUUUCCCUUUACAUUUUUUUCAAUGACAUUUCAUUUUCUAACCUAAGUUUUAAAAAUAUUAUAUAUGGUCUUCUUAGGGUGCAGGGCAUCUUCUAGAAGCGAUUUGCUUCACAGUUGUGGAAUACAAAGUGAUCUCAAAUCAAAUCUCUUUCCAGCGGUUUGGUAGCAAAUUUCUCUCAACGUCAUUAUCAUAAGUUUGGAUUAAAUACAUCGGAAAUAACGACAAUAGCGACAAUACCUGCAGCAUUUGAAGUUUGGAUCAAAUACCUGGGAAAUACUAAUUUGAUGAUCAGUCAUCGCGUUUGUUUUCUAUGUA
rnacentral:ncRNA from 1 species